AGUGAAAACGAUCUGAUACACAAGUUUAAAACUUAGUUCUAAUAACUUUUUGGCGCUUAAAAGUAACGCGAAGAGUUCUAUAUAAAUUCGAGUUGUUCGACGGUAACGGAAAGGUGGAGGAGUGGCGCAACGAACAUUUUAAACAAAAAGCAGAUGGUUGCGACACCGGACGGAGACAUAACAACUGCAGCACAAGUUAUUCGACACCAGGAUGUCUCUGUCUAGAAAGAAUCGACUCUGAUUCGGCUCUUCCCUCUAGCGGAAAACAAUCGUGGAGAAAUUCGAUUACAAAAAAUGGGAAUAAAAAAAAUAAAUACAAAAAAAAACCGACGGGCAAGCCACGCGACACACGUGUUGGCUAUUCCACCCUUCGAUCGCUGCUAACUGCCUUAUACGCCAGUCGAGGAUCGUAUUUCUCUGGUGUAUACUUUACGCACAAUAAUCUAUAACUAAAGUGUACGUGUUGGUCACGCCCCACUCCUGUUAACGUCGCGUGGCUUAAUUACGUACCGUGUUUGGGGCAACAUCCGAUCGGCUAAAGCUUCCAUUUUCGACAAGAUGGGGUCGGCCAUAUCGUUCUAUUCUUCUACACUCCGCUAGGCUAUUUACCGCUGCUGUUCUAAGCGAGACACUCGACAGUUAUCAAAGCUACGGGGAGGGAAAGGGGAAACGUUCUGCCCAAAGUUCAAGCCGUCCCGAUAACGGAGUGCGGAACGUCGUGUAUCAGCAGUUCAGCUCCGCUUUCGAUACACUAUGUGCGUGUCUGCGUCAUUGAAUAGAAUGAAUGGCAGCAACAAUUUGGACGGAAAAUUGAACGAAAACAAACAGGGGAUAAAAAAAAAAUAGUCGUAGAGAAGGAAAGUAAACAGUUCCGUCAAUUUAUUAUACAGAAAAAGUGCUAUUAUUUGAAUGGAGAAGCUUUAUCAGUAAUAUACCACUACAGUACUCGAAAGAAACAUCACCAUUGGCGGACCGGAAUAACUUCCGAUAUACACCAGGAGAAAGGACAGAACCGGAAGAGAGCUAAAUUAGUCAAGUAUUACUCCGCUCUCGUGUAAUAGUGUAUCUAGAUAAGUGCAGGCCACUUCUGUCGCGAUCUGGUCAGAACUGAUGACGUUCAUGCGCGGAUUAAGUGCCUUUUCGUUCGGAAGAAAAAUCGCAGAUAGAAUAGAACUUCGCAUCUAACAUUCACCCGAACUCGAACGAAUGGAAGAGCGGAAAAAAAGCCGGUAUUAACCAUCUGCCCACUCCAUUAACAAAGGAUGCAAUCGAAGUGUUCUCGACGUACGACUCUCGACGGGAAAGAAAGACGGGGGUGGCAGAAACAACAAUUACCGGUGAUCCAGACGGUCAAUAGCGCUUCCCCAUCCAAUUAAGCCCCAGAUGAAGUGGAAUCGAACGGGCAUAUUGACGAAUUGGCCGACAGUGUCUUUGUCCCAAUCAACUUCUACCUAUGGGCGGUUUUUACCUCUGGCGGACUGCCCACCUCCUCUUCGAUCCACUGCAGAAAAGACGUAAACUGGCUGGGCCAGGUCGCCGGGCCAUUUUAUCAACUGUGCUUAAGACUGUCUCAUUAAAAUAACGCGAAUGAACGAGCAGCCUCGGCACCUUUAACGAGAAAAUCAUCUCAAUACGCCCGUAAUAGCUGACGACUAUAUGUUCUUUUGAGAGUCUUCUAGCAAACUCCGAUAGUUAUUUUAAUCGAUAUCGACUCGGAUAUUAAAUAGUUCGAUUCCAUCGACAGAAACGUUUGUUAAAUUUUCUUUUACUUCCACAAAUUUGGAUUAAACUUAAUCGCCGUUUAAAAACGAAAAAAAUCUAAAUUUAUGCUGGAGCUAUCUCGGAAAGUGGAUGGAGACGUUUUAGCUCGACCAGUCCGUUUGGAUGUUUCUGGAAAUCCCCAAACGGGGGCCGAACGAAUGGCAGUUGUGAAAUCUGAACGGGUACCGCCGCAGCAAUAAUCGAUUAAUUCCGGCAGCGGAAAGAAAGAGGUCAUUAUAAAUAAUUAACCGGUUUAAUAGCGCCAUAAAACGGGGCGUAGAGAUUUUUGAUCCUUUGACAGACCGGGGCCAAUGAGGUAAUUACUCGGCAAAUGGAAUUCGAAGGACGAGCAUCGCCAUCCUCCCGAGAAGAGCAAUCUGCUUGGACUCGCAGUCCACACAAUUAGUGGAGAGUGUGAAUGACCAGGUUGUGAUGAAGCUCGGCGGGGAAUGCCGACUCCAUUCCUUCUAUUAUGUAUUAACUCUUCCUCCGUUUGGAACUCCGUGUAAUUAGGAAACUUUACAAGGACUGCGCUAAGAAUAACUCUCUUUGUAUCCCUUCCACCGAUGGAAUUCGUCUCGUUAAUUUACGAAAAUAUUCGGAAAAUUAAAUUUUCAUAAAAGUUUCUCUCGACUAACGCCGUUUCAAUUAACCUUAUAUGAAUUAUCAAUCAACAACUGAGAAUCGCUUAUUUUCAAGUCAGAAAUAAGAAACAGAAUAGCGACAGAAACUUCGAUUUUGGCGAAAACCUAACGGAGGCAAGCGAAAACAAAGAGAAAGUAGGAAACUCUGGAAAGAAUGAAAAAUCAGUUUCUUUUUGCUCGCAUUUUUGAUGGACACUAUAUGAAUAAGUGCAGAGCGGGCAUCUUAACUUAUUCCGCCUCUAGAAGAAAGGCGAAGAGCAAAAGCCAUCGAUUGUUUGCCAACUACAACACGACAUACAUAUUUCACCGGCCAGUUAGUCCGACUGCGUGAACGCUGAUAGAUUACGUUGGUAGCCAAGCCUGGCUAGUUGGCGAUCGAAUCCCUCUACUCAAACUUAGUUAUCACGGUAAUCUGCUGCCUGUCAGAAUUAAAGCUCCUCCCGCUGUCUCUCCACCUGCGCCACAUCUCGGGUCUUUUGUCUCUCUCUCUCUUUUUUCCCCUCGCUCUUUCUUCUUGUCCAACCUAGAGGUACUUAGUAUUUGUCCCGUGACUAACGGAUGGCCGAGAUAACCUGGGCUGGAUCACAUACGUAUCUUGGUAAAACGCGCAUCGUCUUUCAAAAUUCAUUUAUCGAACGACUGAAAUCGAUGAGACCGACCGAACUAACGCCCUUUUACAUUCGAUUAGCAUCUUUUGACCUAAUUUAGCGUAGUUGUUAGAAAAAUUCUCAAAGCAUAUUAUUCGUCAUGCCCCAUCAAUUUUUCUCUCGUAAUACUAUAAAGACAAUUUUAGGCGAGGAAACCCGCCUCUCUCGCUCACCCGUUUCUCCUGAAUAUUUCAGAAGAUGAAAGGAAAUAAAGUUGUAGCGCUUCCUAACCAAUAUGAGACUUUUAAUUUUUCAAUACAGUGGCCAAAUUCCAAUUCAAUCGGAUAAAUAAAUGUUAAUUUUGAAUCCGAUUGUCCCACCUUUGUCCACAUUCGAGAAAUGGUCUUAAUUAUAUCCAUCUAUCUGUGGCCAUUCCUCACGCUUGAUCACAUUCACUCUACGAUUAUUAUUCGAAUGGCAUAUAUUUAAUGUCGCAUGAAUCCGCUUUUAUUUCUUGGUAAGCAUUAUUGUAAACGUCGCUAUAACUUAAAAUUACCAACCAAAAGAAAAAAAAUUAAAAUCUAAAUCAGAUUAAAUUAUGUGACGAUAAUGAGCAAUCAUUUUUUUCUUCUUCUCUGUGACUGGUUGAGUUACUAAUUACAAACUAUGCGGCAGCGGGCGAAAAUAUUUCUCAUCGCGGGUAUCCAAUGCCUACGAAUGGAGAGAACAGAGAAAUAAAAAUUAAAGAUCAACGAGCCGUGCCCGGAUUCCGCUGAAAAAUUAAGAAAUACGACGAAUAGAAAUUGAUCGUGGGAUUUCCAGAAAGAAAGACCGAAGCGUAGCCGUGUUAAACUAAACCAAUUUAAAAUGAUUUUUUUUAAUAAUAAAUAUCGGUAUAUUUAUAAUUCUUACCGCGACACCCGUCUAAAAAAGCUGUUGUGCCACAAUUUUCUUAAUUAUUAAAAGCUGUCACCUUGCAGUAUUUUAAAAAAAAAUAGCAAUAUUUAACAGCAAAAAAGCGAUAUUAUGCUGUUUAAAAAAAUAAGUAUUGAUUCGGCCAAUAAAUGGGGGUUCCUACGCUGGCGGUUUCUUUUUCGUCGUUGGACAAAACACGAAAAGAAUCUUCCAGAAAUUAGUAUUUUUAGGAUUUUGGAAUUUGGAUCGAUUACCGAAAGGAAAAUGUGCAUUUUCAACUGGCUGAACCCAAACCCGACUAAAGUGGGUCUCAUUUUGCAGAAUUAAGUUGUCCAAAUGGAUUUUGACAACUCCUUGUUGCUGUCACCAGCAGAAGUGUAAUUGAAAAAACAAAAGGAAAGUAAUGGAACGAUGCCCUUCAGAGGAGAAAAAGGGGAAGAGGGAGAGAAAAAAGUGCAUUUGCAGAAUUAAGAUGGAACGUGAUGGGGGAAAAGUGCUUUCGCGCCAAUAAUGCAUUUUAGGUCUCCUCUUUUUUGACUCAGCCGCAUGUUUCGAGUAACGUAUAAAGAGGAAAUAACGAGACUCUUACGGUGUCAUUACUAAAGAACUUCCUAUUAAAUAAAUCGCCAUAAUUGACAAGUCCAAUCGCGCUUGCUUUAAGUCUAUUUGAAAGCGUGGUUGGAUCGAUACGAGCUGCCAAAUAUUCAGUGAUUCCAAGCACCCAUGCUUAAUGAAAAUUUGUACAUGUGUGUAUAUAUGUGUAUAAAGAAAAAAAAUGUGGGGAAAAGGAGAUUGAGCAUAUGGUGUGCAGUCACCGUUAGAAUACCAAACGAAGCAGAACAGGCCAGAACUGUUGGGCCUGGUUGAAUAAAUGAUGCGUAGAUUCACGUGACAAGGCGAUCCUAUUUCCCGCCUUACCGUCAAGUCUCGUUAGAUAACAUGGAAAAACACAUGUAAGUCUUUGAAGAGCUUCGACCGCCCUACUCGACCCGACAGACACAUGCUGAAAGUCGGGAUACUGUAAAUCGUUAUUCAAUCGAUAAGAAAGAAAAGGGUGGGUGGAGAAAAGUAGGUUAGCACCAGCGUUGUAUGGGCCCGAUCAUUUAGGAGAGGGAGAGAGAGAAAGAGAGAGAGACUGCAACGACCAAGAAGAAAAAAGCGGGUAUUCUGCAACGAUGCUAAAGAAAACUCUCCAGUUGUGACGACCAAUCUCGAACGGAUUCAAAAUCAAUCAACCAGCUAUGUCUGUAAGAGAUUGUUGUACUGGAAGUGGAGAGUCUUCCUUUCUCUUUCAUUGAUGUCCACAUUAAUGACAGCACGCACAUCUCUCCUUUCAAAUUACGUUUAUUCCAGUUAAAAUCUCUACAAAUAAAUAUUAAAAGACACAGAUUUAUCUUUAGAUAUAAAAAUAAACAUACAAACAUACUUUAUAGCUUUAUUGAUAAUAUUCAAAAAUAUUUCAAUAACUUUUCUACUUUUACAUAAAUGUAUACUGCAUAUAUUCAAAUUUAAAUCUAGCAGAAACUAAAUUACUCGUCAC
rnacentral:lncRNA from 1 species